UUCCCUACGGGGUGCAGCAGGCGCGAAAACUUUACAAUGCGGGAAACCGUGAUAAGGGGACACCGAGUGCCAGCAUCAUAUGCUGGCUGUCCGGGUGUGUAAAAUACACCUGUUAGCAAGGGCCGGGCAAGACCGGUGCCAGCCGCCGCGGUAACACCGGCGGCCCGAGUGGUGAUCGUGAUUAUUGGGUCUAAAGGGUCCGUAGCCGGUUUGGUCAGUCCUCCGGGAAAUCUGAUGGCUCAACCAUUAGGCUUUCGGGGGAUACUGCCAGGCUUGGAACCGGGAGAGGUAAGAGGUACUACAGGGGUAGGAGUGAAAUCUUGUAAUCCCUGUGGGACCACCUGUGGCGAAGGCGUCUUACCAGAACGGGUUCGACGGUGAGGGACGAAAGCUGGGGGCACGAACCGGAUUAGAUACCCGGGUAGUCCCAGCCGUAAACGAUGCUCGCUAGGUGUCAGGCAUGGCGCGACCGUGUCUGGUGCCGCAGGGAAGCCGUGAAGCGAGCCACCUGGGAAGUACGGCCGCAAGGCUGAAACUUAAAGGAAUUGGCGGGGGAGCACAACAACGGGUGGAGCCUGCGGUUUAAUUGGACUCAACGCCGGACAACUCACCGGGGACGACAGCAAAAUGUAGGCCAGGCUGAAGACCUUGCCUGAAUCGCUGAGAGGA
rnacentral:rRNA from 1 species